AUGAACGCUAGCUACAGGCUUAACACAUGCAAGUCGAGGGGCAGCAUUUUAGUUUGCUUGCAAACUGAAGAUGGCGACCGGCGCACGGGUGAGUAACACGUAUCCAACCUGCCGAUAACUCCGGAAUAGCCUUUCGAAAGAAAGAUUAAUACCGGAUAGCAUACGAAUAUCGCAUGAUAUUUUUAUUAAAGAAUUUCGGUUAUCGAUGGGGAUGCGUUCCAUUAGUUUGUUGGCGGGGUAACGGCCCACCAAGACUACGAUGGAUAGGGGUUCUGAGAGGAAGGUCCCCCACAUUGGAACUGAGACACGGUCCAAACUCCUACGGGAGGCAGCAGUGAGGAAUAUUGGUCAAUGGGCGAGAGCCUGAACCAGCCAAGUAGCGUGAAGGAUGAAGGCUCUAUGGGUCGUAAACUUCUUUUAUAUGGGAAUAAAGUUUUCCACGUGUGGAAUUUUGUAUGUACCAUAUGAAUAAGGAUCGGCUAACUCCGUGCCAGCAGCCGCGGUAAUACGGAGGAUCCGAGCGUUAUCCGGAUUUAUUGGGUUUAAAGGGAGCGUAGGUGGAUUGUUAAGUCAGUUGUGAAAGUUUGCGGCUCAACCGUAAAAUUGCAGUUGAAACUGGCAGUCUUGAGUACAGUAGAGGUGGGCGGAAUUCGUGGUGUAGCGGUGAAAUGCUUAGAUAUCACGAAGAACUCCGAUUGCGAAGGCAGCUCACUAGACUGUCACUGACACUGAUGCUCGAAAGUGUGGGUAUCAAACAGGAUUAGAUACCCUGGUAGUCCACACAGUAAACGAUGAAUACUCGCUGUUUGCGAUAUACAGUAAGCGGCCAAGCGAAAGCAUUAAGUAUUCCACCUGGGGAGUACGCCGGCAACGGUGAAACUCAAAGGAAUUGACGGGGGCCCGCACAAGCGGAGGAACAUGUGGUUUAAUUCGAUGAUACGCGAGGAACCUUACCCGGGCUUAAAUUGCAACAGAAUAUAUUGGAAACAGUAUAGCCGUAAGGCUGUUGUGAAGGUGCUGCAUGGUUGUCGUCAGCUCGUGCCGUGAGGUGUCGGCUUAAGUGCCAUAACGAGCGCAACCCUUAUCUUUAGUUACUAACAGGUGAUGCUGAGGACUCUAGAGAGACUGUCGUCGUAAGAUGUGAGGAAGGUGGGGAUGACGUCAAAUCAGCACGGCCCUUACGUCCGGGGCUACACACGUGUUACAAUGGGGGGUACAGAAGGCGGCUACCUGGUGACAGGAUGCUAAUCCCAAAAACCUCUCUCAGUUCGGAUCGAAGUCUGCAACCCGACUUCGUGAAGCUGGAUUCGCUAGUAAUCGCGCAUCAGCCAUGGCGCGGUGAAUACGUUCCCGGGCCUUGUACACACCGCCCGUCAAGCCAUGAAAGCCGGGGGUACCUGAAGUACGUAACCGCAAGGAGCGUCCUAGGGUAAAACUGGUAAUUGGGGCU
rnacentral:rRNA from 1 species